GUCCACGCUGUAAACGAUGAGUGCUAGAUGCUAUGGGUAUUGACCCCUGUGGUGUCGUAGCUAACGCGUUAAGCACUCCGCCUGGGGAGUACGGUCGCAAGACUAAAACUCAAAGGAAUUGACGGGGGCCCCGCACAAGCGGUGGAGCAUGUGGUUCAAUUCGACGCAACGCGCAGAACCUUACCUGGGUUAAAUCCACUCGAACCUGCCAGAGAUGGUGGGGUGCCCUUCUGGGGAGCGAGUGAGAAGGUGCUGCAUGGCUGUCGU
rnacentral:rRNA from 1 species